rnacentral:rRNA from 1 species
GACGAACGCUGGCGGCGUGCCUAAUACAUGCAAGUCGAGCGGACGAAUCGAAAGCUUGCUUUUGAUUCGUUAGCGGCGGACGGGUGAGUAACACGUGGGCAACCUGCCCUGUAGACGGGGUUAACACCGAGAAAUCGGUGCUAAUACCGGAUAACACGAAAUGUCGCAUGACGUUUCGUUGAAAGACGGCGCAAGCUGUCGCUACAGGAUGGGCCCGCGGCGCAUUAGCUAGUUGGUGAGGUAACGGCUCACCAAGGCGACGAUGCGUAGCCGACCUGAGAGGGUGAUCGGCCACACUGGGACUGAGACACGGCCCAGACUCCUACGGGAGGCAGCAGUAAGGAAUCUUCCGCAAUGGACGAAAGUCUGACGGAGCAACGCCGCGUGAGCGAAGAAGGCCUUCGGGUCGUAAAGCUCUGUUGUUAGGGAAGAACAAGUAACGCAGUAACUGGCGUUACCGUGACGGUACCUAACGAGAAAGCCACGGCUAACUACGUG